rnacentral:rRNA from 1 species
AUGGUGAGCGCCUUGGCAGGGGUGAUGACCUCUGUCAUCGGCAAGCUCACCACCCUGCUUGGGGAGGAGUACGCAAAGCUGAAAGGUGUGCACAGGGAGGUGGAGUUCAUGAAAGAUGAGCUGAGCAGCAUGAACGCGCUCCUUCAGAGGCUGGCAGAGGUGGACCGUGAUCUUGAUGUGCAGACAAAGGAAUGGAGGGACCAAGUCCGGGAGAUGUCUUAUGAUAUUGAGGAUUGCAUAGACGACUUUAUGAAAAGCCUUGGCCAAACUGACAUUGCUAAGAGAGCAGGGCUUGUCCAAAAUGUGAUCCAGCAGCUCAAGGCACUGAGGGGGCGCCAUCAAAUAUCCAGCCAAAUCCAGGGGCUCAAGGCACGUGUUGAAGAUGCAAGCAAGCGACGUAUGAGGUAUAAGCUCGAUGAGCGCACCUUUGAGCAUCGCAUCUCAAGGGCCAUUGACCCUCGUCUUCCUUCGCUCUAUGCUGAGCCAGACGGGCUCGUCGGUAUUGACAAGCCAAGAGACGAGCUCAUCAAGUGCCUAAUGGAGGGGGUGGGUGCAUUGGUGCAGCAGCAAAAGGUGAUAUCAAUUGUGGGUUCUGGGGGCCUCGGUAAAACUACACUUGCGAAUGAGGUGUACCGUAAACUGGAAGGCCAGUUCCAGUGUCGAGCUUUUGUUUCUUUGUCGCAGCAGCCUGAUGUGAAGAAGAUCCUAAGAAGUAUACUCUCUCAAGUCAGCCAGCAGGAGUACGCUAACAUAGAUGUCUGGGAUGAGGAAAAGCUCAUCAAUGCAAUCCGAGAAUUUCUAAAGAACAAAAGGUAUUUUGUCAUCAUUGAUGAUAUUUGGAGUAAUCAAGCAUGGAAGAUUAUCAAGUGUGCUUUGUUUCCAAAUGAUGUUGGGAGCAAAAUAAUGACAACAACUCGCAGUAUUACUAUAGCCAAGUCAUGUUGCUCUCCUCAGCAUGAUCAUGUCUAUGAAAUAAUGCCUCUUACUGAAGCCAACUCUAAGAGUUUAUUUUUGAAACGUAUAUUUGGCUCGGGAGAUAUGUGCCCUCCUAAGUUGGAAGAAGUCUCCUCAGAGAUAUUGAAGAAAUGUGGUGGUUCACCCUUGGCGAUUAUUACAGUGGCUAGCUUGCUGGCUAAUAAAGCUAGUACAAAUGAAGAAUGGGAGAGGGUAUAUAACUCAAUCGGUUCGACACUGGAAAAAGAUCCCGGUGUAGAAGAGAUGAGAAAAAUAUUAUCCCUCAGCUAUGAUGAUCUUCCCCAUCAUUUAAAGACAUGUUUACUAUACCUGAGUAUAUUUCCAGAAGACUGUGAGAUUAAGAGGGAUCAAUUGAUAAGGAGGUGGAUUGCUGAAGGAUUUAUUAAUACGGAGGGUGGACAAGAUUUGGAGGAGAUAGGAGAUGGGUAUUUCAGUGACCUUAUCAAUAGAAGUAUGGUUCAGCCAGUGAGAAUUCAAUAUGAUGGUCGAGUUUAUUCAUGCCGAGUCCAUGAUAUGAUUCUUGAUCUUCUUAUAUCCAAGUCAAUUGAAGAAAAUUUUGUUACCUUCUUUGGUGGCCAAAAUCAGGAAUUAGUGCUACAACAUAAGAUUCGUAGACUAUCUCUGAACUGUUAUUCCCAAGAGCACAUCGCAGUUCCAUCAACAGCGAUCAUUUCUCAUUGCCGGUCUCUCAGUGUAUUUGGGUAUGCUGAACAGAUGCCUCCUCUUUCGAAGUUUAGAGUUCUGCGAGUACUUGAUAUAGAAAAUGGUGAGGACAUGGAAAGCAGUUUUAUUGAACAUGUAAGGACUCUUUGUCAGUUGAAGUAUUUGCGGCUCGAUGUCAGAAGCAUUUCUGCAUUCCCAGAGCAAUUAGGAGAACUACAGCAUUUGCAGACUCUGGAUAUAAGAUGGACAAAGAUACGAAAAUUGCCCAAAAGCAUUGUUCAACUGCAAAAUAUGACAUGUUUGCAUGUCAAUAAUCUUGAAUUACCUGAAGGAAUUGGGAAUCUGCAUGCUCUUCAGGAGCUAAGAGAGAUCAAAGUCAAGUGGGACAGUUUGGCAUCUUCUUUGCUGGAAUUGGGCAGCCUGACUAAAUUGAGGAUUCUUGGGCUGCGCUGGUGCAUCAUCGAUACACACGGUAACAAAGAAAUUUUUGUGGAGAACGUGGUCUCAUCGCUCUGUAAACUGGGUAGACUCAACCUUCGGUCUCUAUGCAUUAAGAGUGACUAUGGUUAUUCCAUUCCUCUAAAAGAAAUGUAUGGUUAUUCCAUAGAAUUCUUGCUGGAUUCUUGGUUCCCAUCCCCUCAUCUCCUCCAGAAAUUUCAGAUGGACGCGUACUAUUUCUUUCCCAGAGUUCCAGUUUGGAUCGCGUCACUUGACAACCUCUCGUACCUAGAUAUCAAUAUUAACCCUGUAGAAGAGGAGGCAUUAGAGAUCCUUGGAGGGUUACCUGCUUUGCUGCUUCUGUGUUUGUCAUCAGAAUCAUCUGCUCAAAACAACAUGUUCAUAUGCCUGAAGGAUUUCCGCUUCACCUGCUGGAGCAAUGGCAAAGGACUGAUAUUUGAAGCUGGGGCCAUGCCGAGUCUUGAGAAGCUGGAGGUUCCAUUAGACGCAGGCAAGGAUCUUGAUUUUGGCAUCCAGCACCUCUCUUCCCUUAUGCAUGUUACCGUGAAGAUCAUUUGCGGUGGUGCCACGGUUCGGGAGGUGGAAGCAUCGGAGGACGCCAUCAGGAGCGCAGUUACUCUCCUUCCGAACCACCCCACACUGGAAAUCCGAAUAUGGGGUGAUGAAAAUAUGGUGGAGGAGGACCAAGGGAAGGCUGAAGAGGAGAUCCAGACAAGCACACAACUCAUCUGA